rnacentral:tRNA from 1 species
GAGGGUAUAGCCUAGUGGUAGAGUGUGUGCCUAGCAUGCAUGAGGUCCUGGGUUCAAUCCCCAGCACCUCCA